rnacentral:rRNA from 1 species
UACGAAGGGGGCUAGCGUUGCUCGGAAUCACUGGGCGUAAAGCGCACGUAGGUGGGUUUCUAAGUCAGGGGUGAAAUCCUGGAGCUCAACUCCAGAACUGCCUUUGAUACUGGAAAUCUUGGAGUCCGGGAGAGGUGGGUGGAACUGCGAGUGUAGAGGUGAAAUUCGUAGAUAUUCGCAAGAACACCAGUGGCGAAGGCGGCUCACUGGCCCGGUACUGACACUGAGGUGCGAAAGCGUGGGGAGCAAACAGG